CUCAUCAUCUAUAGAGGUAAAUAAAUCAUUUUCAUUUAUACCUACCUAAGGAAAUGGCAACCCACUCCAGUGUUCUUGCCUGGAGAAUCCCAGGGACGGGGGAGCCUGGUGGGCUGCCGUCUAUGGGGUCGCACAGAGUCAGACACAACUGAAGUAACUUAGCAAACCAGAUGUGCACGCGUUCACAGAGCCUCAGGGGAUGGUGUGUAGCAUGGCAGGCCCUCUGCAGAGGCAUGGAGUCCGGUCCCCGGCAAACGCUCUUCCGUUUCCACCACUGGCGUUCAGCUCCCCCCAGAGAUGCCCAUAGGAGCCAAUCUGUAAACAGAGGAUCCCCCAGUGUUGAUCGUAGGCUGUGUUCACCCUCACCUCAACAGCAC
rnacentral:lncRNA from 1 species